rnacentral:rRNA from 1 species
GAUGAACGCUGGCGGCGUGCCUAAUACAUGCAAGUCGAGCGAACGGACGAGAAGCUUGCUUCUCUGAUGUUAGCGGCGGACGGGUGAGUAACACGUGGAUAACCUACCUAUAAGACUGGGAUAACUUCGGGAAACCGGAGCUAAUACCGGAUAAUAUUUUGAACCGCAUGGUUCAAAAGUGAAAGACGGUCUUGCUGUCACUUAUAGAUGGAUCCGCGCUGCAUUAGCUAGUUGGUAAGGUAACGGCUUACCAAGGCAACGAUGCAUAGCCGACCUGAGAGGGUGAUCGGCCACACUGGAACUGAGACACGGUCCAGACUCCUACGGGAGGCAGCAGUAGGGAAUCUUCCGCAAAGGGCGAAAGCCUGACGGAGCAACGCCGCGUGAGUGAUGAAGGUCUUCGGAUCGUAAAACUCUGUUAUUAGGGAAGAACAUAUGUGUAAGUAACUGUGCACAUCUUGACGGUACCUAAUCAGAAAGCCACGGCUAACUACAUG